rfam:Streptomyces xiamenensis strain 318, complete genome.
CUGGCUCCGGUUCACGGCACGCAUCGGGUGUGCCGACCCGGCGCC